UACGAAGGGGGCUAGCGUUGCUCGGAAUUACUGGGCGUAAAGGGCGCGUAGGCGGAUAUCUAAGUUGGGGGUGAAAUCCCGGGGCUCAACCUCGGAAUUGCCUUCAAAACUGGAUAUCUUGAGUUCGGGAGAGGUGAGUGGAACUCCGAGUGUAGAGGUGAAAUUCGUAGAUAUUCGGAAGAACACCAGUGGCGAAGGCGACUCACUGGCCCGAUACUGACGCUGAGGAGCGAAAGCGUGGGGAGCAAACAGG
rnacentral:rRNA from 1 species